UACGUAGGGCGCAAGCGUUAUCCGGAAUUAUUGGGCGUAAAGAGCUCGUAGGCGGUUUGUCGCGUCGGCUGUGAAAUCCCGAGGCUCAACCUCGGGUCUGCAGUCGAUACGGGCAAACUAGAGUAUUGCAGGGGAGACUGGAAUUCCUGGUGUAGCGGUGAAAUGCGCAGAUAUCAGGAGGAACACCGGUGGCGAAGGCGGGUCUCUGGGCCGAUACUGACGCUGAGGAGCGAAAGCGUGGGGAGCGAACAGG
rnacentral:rRNA from 1 species